GAUGAAGAACGUAGCGAAAUGCGAUAAGUAUUGUGAAUUGCAGAAUUCAGUGAAUCAUCGAAUCUUUGAACGCACAUUGCGCCCAUUAGCAUUCUAGUGGGCAUGCCUGUUCGAGCGUCAUUUCAACCCUUAAGCCCUGUUGCUUAGCGUUGGGAGCCUACAGUACUGUAGCUCCCCAAAGUUAGUGGCGGAGUCGGUUUCACACUCUAGACGUAGUAAUUUUUUCUCGUCUGUAGUUGAGCCGGUCCCCUGCCGUAAAACACCCAAUUUAUCAAGGUUGACCUCGGAUCAGGUAGGAAUACCCGCUGAACUUAAGCAUAUCAAUAAGCGGAGGA
rnacentral:misc_RNA from 1 species